UGGGGAAUUUUGGACAAUGGGCGAAAGCCUGAUCCAGCCAUGCCGCGUGAGUGAAGAAGGCCUUCGGGCUGUAAAGCUCUUUUAGUCGGAAAGAAAGAGUUGCAAUGAAUAAUUGUGAUUUAUGACGGUACCGACAGAAAAAGCACCGGCUAACUACGUGCCAGCAGCCGCGGUAAUACGUAGGGUGCGAGCGUUAAUCGGAAUUACUGGGCGUAAAGGGUGCGCAGGCGGUCUUGCAAGUCAGAUGUGAAAGCCCCGGGCUUAACCUGGGAAUUGCGUUUGAAACUACAAGACUAGAGUGCAGCAGAGGGGAGUUGAAUUCCAUGUGUAGCAGUGAAAUGCGUAGAGAUGUGGAAGAACACCGAUGGCGAAGGCAGCUCCCUGGGUUGACACUGACGCUCAUGCACGAAAGCGUGGGG
rnacentral:rRNA from 1 species